rnacentral:rRNA from 1 species
UUGGUCAUUUAGAGGAAGUAAAAGUCGUAACAAGGUUUCCGUAGGUGAACCUGCGGAAGGAUCAUUAAAGAGUAAGGGUGCUCAACGCCCGACCUUCAACCCUUUGUUGUUAAAACUACCUUGUUGCUUUGACGGGACCGCUCGGUCUCGAGCCGCUGGGGAUUCGUCCCAGGCGAGCGCCCGCCAGAGUUAAACCAAACUCUUGUCAUUUAACCGGUCGUCUGAGUUAAAAUUUUGAAUAAAUCAAAACUUUCAACAACGGAUCUCUUGGUUCUCGCAUCGAUGAAGAACGCAGCGAAAUGCGAUAAGUAAUGUGAAUUGCAGAAUUCAGUGAAUCAUCGAAUCUUUGAACGCACAUUGCGCCCUUUGGCAUUCCUUAGGGCAUGCCUGUUCGAGCGUCAUUUCAACCCUCAAGCUCUGCUUGGUGAUGGGCGUACUGUCGGCCUCGGCCGACUCGCCUCAAACGCAUUGGCGGCAAGCACCGUGGCUCCGAGCGCAGCAGAAACGCGAACUCGAUCCCCCGGCGCGAGCUCCCAGCAAGCCAAACCCCAGAUUUUGACCUCGGAUCAGGUAGGGAUACCCGCUGAACUUAAGCAUAUCAAUAAG